GAAACAUGGCUACUGGAGGGCUCCCCUUACCACGGAACGGUGAUUCCCAGAACGAGACUGAAGAAACCAACACCUCUACCAAGGAUAAACGUGAUGUUAUCUUGAGUGAAAAAGGACUCUUAGCAUUUGAAGAGGAAAGUUCCAAAUAUAAGAAACCUAUAUUCGAAACAUGGGGGAAAGUCGAAAAAUGCAUUCUACGUGUGCAAAAAUGUGACAGAAACAUUGAACAAUAUCAAAUCUUACAGAGUGAUAUAGAGAACACAUUCAGUGAGUUUCACAGUAGUAUUAAACAGUACCUUGUCUUUCUACAAAGACACUCUAGAAGUGAACAAGGUAAAAGCGAGAUAAAACGAUGUACCGAGGACUUUGAGAAAGGAAAGUCAGUGGUUUACAAGGCCUUAGACAACAUUAAAGCCGCAAAAUUAGACCUCUUAGAAACAGCCUCAGAAAUAUCAACAACCAGCACUGAGAGGAAAAGAAGAAAAGAGCGGAAGUUGGAAGUAAUGAAAAAAGAAGCAGAGCUAAGAAAACAGAAACUUCGCCUUGAGGAAGAUGAAUCAAUACGCAUAGCUGAAAUGAACAGAAAAAAGUGUGAGUUGGACAUUGACUUAGAUUUACUGAAACAAGAACAGAGUGCUAGUGAUGAUGAACUUUCAAUGGAGCAAGACCUUGCGGACAUUGAGAGAGAGAGUUCAGGGGAACGAACACAGAAGUUUGUGGAAAACAUCCCUUCCAAUCCUGUUGAUGUCCAGAUACCCACAACAGAAUCGCCUCAUGUGCUGUCUGAAAUGGCCCUGCUUAUGAUUAAAAAGCAAAUGCUUCCUGAACCCGACAACCAGCUCUCAAGAGACCGGUAUACUCCAAAAAGUCUGAGGUGUCAACAGACAACAACAACAACGCCCGCUGUCCAUAUCAUAAGGCAGAUCAUAGCAUUCAUGAUUGUAGAGCCUUCCGUGCAAAACCGUUCUUUGAACGCAAGAACUUCUUGCAAAGUAAAAACAUUUGUACUAGAUGUUGCACCUCAACUAGUCAUACAGCAAAGGACUGCCAAGUCAAAAUCCAAUGUACCGCAUGUGGGAGUGUUUAUCAUACGACUGCUUUGCAUAUAAACAAAGGUCCAUCAUCAAGCCCAAGCAUGCAUGGCGGGGAGAAAAUGUA
rnacentral:sRNA from 1 species